AUUCUGUAUUAGAUUUGUUUCAUAUGAGGCAGGAGAUACCAUUAAGCGACAGAAGGUAUCUAUUUACCUUCCUGUAUGCUAUAAUAUUGAAUAUGAAUUAUUGUUCAUCUGCUUUCUUUUUUUCCCAGUAGCUUCAGAUAACCUAUUCACAUAAUUUUGUAUCCAACAUCAUGACCCUGCCUAUGAUGGAGUGCAGAAUAUCUGCAGAGACAGAGCUGUAUGGUUACUGGAUUAAGGCCCAAGAGACAGGACUCCUUUCCCAGCCUUCUAGGAACUUUUUGGAUGGUGUUCUACAAGUUGCUUAACUUCAUCUACCUCACUUCACUCAUCUGAAGGUCAUCAAGAUCAAGACAAGGCUCCAGUUAAGAAGCUGUACCAAACAGUAGUGAUUCAGGCUCUAAAGAUACCAUGCCUACAUGAAGAAAGGGCAAGGAAAGCUAAAAAAGCAGGAUUGUGCUCAAUGAAAUGGUGUCUAUUAGAAGCAGAGGGAUGUUGACAAAUGCUUUAAAGAUUUCAGGAAAAAAGAUGGUCAUUUCUGUGCUCUUACUGACAAUGACUAUAUUGAAAUGACAUUCUGAUUCAAUAACUUUGCUUCUCUAUGACUGACUUACAGGCCCAUUUACUUUAGAAAAGCGACCAUAUCUAGCUGUGAUGUACUGUUAUGUGCUACUGUUUCCCUUUACCAGAGGAGCUCUGCAUUUGGCAUACAUUUACCUGUGUUAAUGAGGUCAAAAGCAAAUCUUUUACUAAGGCUCUGUCCUGGUUUCAACUGGGACAGAGUUGGCUUUCUUCAUAGUGUCUAGUAUGACGGUAUGUUUUGGCUUUAGAAGAAAAACAACAUUGAUAACACACUCAUAUUUUAGAUGUUGCUGAGCAGUUCCGUAUGGGGCCAACGACAUUUUAGUUUUUCAACUUCUUCUACUGUCCUGCCAGUAGGGGUGUUGAAGGGCACAGGGUGCUGGGAAAGGCCAGAACCAGAGCAGCGGACCUAAACUGGCCAAAGGGAUAUUCCAUACCAUAUAGCAUCAUACAGAAAAACUAUAAAACUAAGGGGAGUUGGCUGAGAGGGGCAUCUGAUGCUCAGGGCCUGGCUGGGCAUAGAUGGCAGUUGGUGAGCAACUGUGUUGUGCAUCACUUAUUUUGUAAAUAUUAGAUAUAUUAUCAUUACUAUUAUUUCAGUUUUCCUUCUCUGUCUUAGUAAAUGUUUUUUAUCUCAACCUCUGAGUUCUUUUCUUUUUUUUUUUUUUUCCAGUUCUCUCCUGCAUCCCACUGGGAGGUGGGGAGUGAACUAAAGUUCACUAAACUGUAAAGCCCAGCUGCCUGUUGGGUUAAACCGGAAUAGGCUCACAUAGUAUCUAAGUUCAUUUCUUACAAGUUCAGAAUUAUCUGCUGAAUAGCAUGUGAGUGGAAGGCAGGACACUGCAGGAUGAUAAACAGACAUGAUCUGUUUGAAAAAUACUGCUGAAAUUCGAAUACAUCAAAGAUGAAAUCAAAAACCUCCAAAAGAAAGGCUUAUCAUCAUUGUGUGCUGAAUCACACUAUAAACAUGGACUUUGAAACAUCUUUUUCUGAAACUUAGAGGGACUCAGAGCAGCACAAGUAUUUUGUCUCAGUGGAAAUUAUGGAACUGCAGGUUAAGCAGCUCUAUGAAGUUCUGGAUCCCUUCUGAAAACCAGCUCCCAGAAGAUGAAUACUGUCAGCAUAACAAAGUUUCUUCAGAUAAUUUACAAUUACAGUGAAUUAGAGUUAGAGACACUGGAGUUCAUCAUAUAUAUACAUAUUUAUGUAUGUAUGUAUAUGUGAGUCUGUGUUUAGUGUCUUUUCUAAAAAUGUUUGUUCUUUCACUGACAGCUCUUAUUUUAAAAUCACUCACAAUAAAUAAUAGCCAUUUAUUACAGUGGAGGCCUAGAUCCUGAAAGUCUCAUUCAGUUAAAUCUCAUUCACUAUUUUAAAUAUUGCUUCAGUCCACAUGCUUUCCUCCACUUCCUUCUUCAUCAUCACUGCAGACAACAAUCACCAUGAAUGUUUUUUAUACAUAAUGGGGUUUUUUUAAUAUUAUUUUGAAUUAUUACAGAAUAAGCAUACCUCCCUCCAAUGUUGUCAGCAUGCUUUCCUUACAUCUCUACUCAAGCAUAGGGGAUUCUCACCACCAUAAUGUUCCCUUUAAGAGAUGAAAUGCAGAUUGCCACCUAAAAGCCAGAGCCAUUUUCAAGGGCUGCAUCUGCUAACUCUUUGUUAAACGCUGUCCCUAAAAAAGACCAAAGGAUCUCCUAAGGAAAUUUCCUACAUAGAAACCAUGCUAAUCAUGCUCUAGACAUCAUUAAGCUUGAUUAUGGACUUAUAUAAUUAAUAAAUUAAAAUACAACAUAGCAUGAUGAUAUGUCAAAUGCUUAUUUUGUUCAAUGCCAACAGAUGUGGAGAUUAAAGGUAUACACACAUUUUGGGAAGAUGAACUGGCAGACAUGCACACAAUAUUCGACUUUACAGGUAGCUAUUUGAUUUUUUGGCAUGCCAAAAAUUUUCUUCUGUUGUCUCCAGUAAUGAGGCUUAUUACUGGAGCUCUUAGCAUCAGGCCUUUGCUUCUGAGAAGAUCCUGCCCAUGCACCAGUUGUAGAACAUGCUUGAAAAUAGAGAAGUUGCAGGAAAAAAAAAGGGUGUAGACAUGAUAUUAAGAGAUGUAGGCAGCAGAUCAGUGUCUGAACAAAGCAAUAAAGCUGGAUUGGCAAGGUGAAGAUGUACUUGACAUUGAUCUCCUGCCAAAAUUUUGACGUGGCAUAGGAUCAACACUGAACAAGGUCAUGAAGCAACUUGAAUUUUAUCGACAUGAAUCUUAACCAGGCAGGGACAACAGGUCUCCUUCAGAUGAAUUAUAAUUGACUUUGAAAAUUGGAAGAAUAACUAGGUUCAGAAGAUGACAUGAAACAUUUAACCUUUUAAUUGCUGAUUAGAACUUGCCGCAGAGGUGAUCAAAUUCCAUUAUCUUCAGAAGUUUCUGAAAAGAGCUUUUGUGAUUUAUUUUGUUGCAGACCGACUGGAUAUAUUUCCGUAUAAGUUAGUUUCCGAAUUAUCAAGCCAGCAAGCAUUUACUCUAAUUAUUUAUUCAUUCCCGGAGAACUUCUACAUCACUGUUUGCACUGAAUAUGAAUAAUCUUGUGAUUGUUUGAUUAAGAUGUAGCUGCAUGUGGAAAUCAAUGAUACUGUAAGAUACAGUCAUGGAACAGCAGCCAAACAGUUCCUGUGAAUUUGUUUUGGGAGUCUAAAAAAAAAAAAAAAAAGUAAAACAACAAUACCUUAUGCACAAUUUUGAAUGAUAAUUAUGUAAUUAUGUAGUAUAUUGCAUGUCCACAUCCUAGAAAUCACAUUGAAGCAGCAUCCAUUUUACAUCUGUAAGUAGAUUUACAUCAGUGGAAUUAAAAUUUUCCAAUGUUGCACUCAUGUUAAUAAACAAACACCAUUUAGUUACUGAGCACUACAAUUUUAAAAGAGAUUACAUCACCUCAAAGUGUAAAUCCCUCUGAUUGUCAUCCAGACUUAAUAACCUCAGUAACCCAGACAAUCCCAUGAUCUAGCAUUAAAUUCAUGUCAAAUCAUAAGCAAACAUAAGACAGCAAAUAUUAUAAAGAUAUAUUAAAUCUUCCCCAGUCAGCAAAUAAAUCUCUAUCAUCUUCAAAAAGGCCUGUUUUCAAAUGUAAAUACUGCAAUUGUGUCACUGUUGACAGGAAGAAGGCAAAUGAUCAGUCAGUCUACUUACUAAUUACGUUUAUUUUUACAAUGCAAUUAUAGAUUACAAUUCUGUGUUGAAUGAAAUUAGAAAGCAUUAUAAGUAUCACCAUGGUAAAACUAAAAUAGGUCUUUUCAGCCAAUUACAUUUUUCCAUGUAAGAAAUUUUGAUUUCAACAGCUCAUUUUAUAGAAUUGAGAGAUCACAAGAAUGAAUGCUGUUUUUCUGAUAUCCACAUGCGCUACUACGUUAUUGAUUUUAUUGACAACAAAGAAACCCUACGGUUUAUAAGCUCACAUACAGCAUUUUGCUUUUUGCAGAGAUAACAAUUUUCUUUCUUCUUGAAAGCAUCAGUAAGGUCCUAAAAUAUUACAGGAAAUAAGUUGCUUGUUACACCUAAAAGCAUACGGCCUAACAGAAAUUCUCAAAACAAGGUUGUGGGGAAAAUGCAGUGUUGCAUAUAUUCUUUCCUUUGGCAUUACCACAGUUUUAGAUUUUCCUGCCCAAGCAAAAUUUCCUGCAUUGUUAGCUCAGAUAACCAGAGGAUGUACUUUGAUUUGCUUUCUAAUCCAGUUUUUAAUUAAUGUAAAACCUUUUGAGGAGAGAUCUUCUGUGUUUGUUUUCAUCCUGAAGUUUAACAUUUCAGAAAAGAUCAGGGAUCACAUAUCCUACCUUUUUUUUUUUUUUUUUUUUUCUGUU
ensembl:lncRNA